CCACAAUGGUCGAACUAAUUUAUACUCCCACCAACAGAAGUAGUCCCCAUCUUGCAUCUUAGAGAAGAGAAGUAGCAAUCAUUGUUCUUGCUGAAGACCAGGAUUCUAAACCCAGCGCUUUUAAGACCAAGGCCAGUACUUUAUGUAUGCAAGCAUGUAGAGUAAUUGCAAAAGAAGAGGCUCUCUCAAGAGGAAGAGUGUUGAAGUAAUUUUCAAAGUCAGGUCAAGUUGCUCCUGUCUAUCAGCAGUGAAGGAAGAGAGGAUUAGUCUGUGAAGAAGCAGCUUUGCCCAGCCCUACCAGAAGAAUCAGAGUUUAAACUGCCAUAGAGUGAUUUCUAACCCCGUCCCCAAACCACCACCACCACCACCAUCAUCCUAAAUUCUCAUCCAGCCACCUUGCUGGACCUAUUAAACAGUGGACAACACAAGGACUUCUGUCCACAGGAAGCACUUAAUAAACAGUGGUUGAAUGUGCGAGUGCAGCCCCUGCUUAAAUACCCCCAACAGCAACAAAGUGAUGUGCACAUUCCCCAGCUACCCAUCCUGCCACGGUUUUGAGCUGCCCUGCUUGUAUGUGUCAGGAGUGAGCAUGCUGAAAAUCAAGCAAAGAAGAUGUUUACAUGUGUCUUUUGCUUGCCAGUGGUUACAGACACAGCCUUACUCUCACCAUAAACGCUUCAAAAGUACCUGCUGAAUUGAGUAAGUAGGAGCUGGCUCUAAUUAUGAGUAAUAAAUGAAACUGAGCCAGGAAAAUUGAGUAUGAAACAGUUUAAGGGGAAGACAUUAAUGAUAAAGUCUGCUCAUGUGUGUAACUGCCUCCCACCAGCAGCAGUGGCUGUCCCCUGCCUUAAUUAACUUAGCAAAAGAAAUAGUUCAGCCUAGAGCUCUUCAUGCGGGGAUGCAAUGAGAGGAUGAAGGAGGCAGGGGAAAGCACAGCAAAGAUGCCCUAAUGGGUUUUCUACAUCUAGGUUGAUUGACUGUUGAGAAAAGAAAGAACAGCUUGUACUAUUCUGGGUAGCAUGAGCACUGUAAUUUGUGACAGCUAUAGGUCAUGUAUCUAUUUUUCUGUCUGACAAGGACGAGGAGCAGCUGGUGGCUGGUACAAACUCAGAUUGGCUUGGUCAGGCUGUGAACUAUGAUAGAGCCUUGGUUUUCAGCCUGAGCUAUAAUGGAGGAAGGGUAUGUGGUUAAUGUUUGCAUGUCUGUGCAAAUUUAACUGUAGUUAACAGAUUUGUGGCUGCAGGUGGAAAAUGAAGCUUAAUGAUUCCAAUAACUCGUCCUUAAUUUCCUUCUGAUUCUGAAAACAAGGUAGAUUUUAUACCUUUCAUAUCUCUCCCCACUCCCACUGUGGCCACCUUCAAUUAAGUCCAAAAACAUUAUUUUAGUUCUUGUUAAAUACUUGGCACCAUGCUGGGCACCGAGCAAGUGAGAAGAAUGUGGCAUGCUCCCUGUCCUUCCAAGAAUCAUUUAAUACAGAAGAUAGAUAAGUAAUCAAAUAGGGUGGUAAUUGUGAUAACAGAUCUAUGCACAAAUGCUACAAAGAUGCAGUACAGAUAAGGGAGUGAUUUCCUCUAUUGCUACAGAAUAAGGAGAAUCAUAGAAAACAUCUCAAUUCAUAGAAAUGAGGAGACCAUAUUAAAGAAUGCAACUUUCCAAUGCAUAAUUCAAAUUCUUCCCUCCUGUAAGGUGAUUUAAAAAGUGUUGAAGGGUAAAAAGACUACCUCAUCCUUAUAGAGAGACUUUCUUCUCUGCCUAUCCAAACCUCCCAUGCCAAGUGAUAGACCUUUGCUACUGUGACCAGAUCCCUAGCCGGUGCCCUGCUCAUGACCCCCACCCCUUCCUAGGUCAUGGCUUCCAACUACAGUAAUAUAUUUUUUGUCUUACAAAAUAUUCUGGGCUUUUUAUUUUAU